AUUUGCCUUUACCCGCGCAACACAAUUUGAAAGCCAAGUCGUCUCUGGAUUUCCCAACUCUAGAGGGACACCUCCCCUAUGUGCUGAAAUUCCACAACGUAUUUCUUCAGAAUUGUUUUGCAUUUUUGAUAAUACAUAAUUGUGUUUACCGUAGUCUAUACCUAAUGUGCAACUGCAAUAAACCUGUCACGUGAACAGCUAGGUAUGUAUAGCAUUUGUAUUUGUCCGUAAUUUGUAUUAAUUAAUUAGGGAAGACAAUGAACAAGAACAGGAAAUUACACGCAUCAUUGAUAGAGACAAAACAGUGCAUAUAAUUGAUUAAAUAAGCAGUAAAUAAUUAUAGACGGCAUUUAAUUAACGUCUAUGUUAAUUAAUUAUAUCUAGUAUGACAAUGGUACAGAAGUUGUUGCUCAUGCAUGUAGUUGUUCUACAUGCUAUCUGUUGGUAGAUCUAGUUCUUAUGUGUUACUGCCAAAAAUCUUACAUGGUAGGUAGUAUUGUAGACUAGUACUGUACAGUCUGUAUAAUGUGGUAGAAAAGUGGGUUGUGUGUACACUUCUAUCUAGAAGAAGGCAUGAUUUCUUAUUACUGAUUUUAGUUUACGAAUUAAUGUCACAGAAUAACUGCAUCAAUUUGAAACAGAAUAACGAAAUAGUGCCAGUGCAGUCAGGUUUUGCUCGUGACUUGUGCUUGUGUUUAUUCUGAUGUUGGCUAUUUGCUCAAACGUUUGCCUCCUGACAUACCAACUGUUAACUUUUAUGUCAGUAUGAUAGGAUGUUAUAGCUAGAUAUUAUGUGCUAUUGUUUGGGAGAGCAACAUUGCAUAUGACCAAAGUAGUCUUGUAAGUCAUUAGUGAUGUGUUAUCAGCAUGUUUUUCAUACUCAUGAAGCAAAUUUUAGAAGGUGUUGAUGUACAAAGAUGGUAGCAAAAGAGUUGGUAAACGGAUAAUUGUGAGAGACUUCAUUUGGCAUAAGAGCUUAAUUAUUGAGUUAUGAAUGUGCAAACAUGCUGAGAAAAGGUAUCCUUGGGAGAUUGCUAGACAUCAUUCGAAACAAAAGAAGCAAAUAAUUUGUUGUCUAUGCAAUUACUGGUAGGAGUCUACCCUAGUUGAAGUGCCUACCUUGACUCAAGGUAUCUGGUCUACUCUACUAUAUACGACUAUUUGUUACUUUUUAUUGACAAUACCAUAUUAUUGAGAUAUCUAUGGAUUUUGCUUGCUGCAAAUUUGAAUUAUGCAACUUUGCAGAAGCAGCAGAUGGUUGAAUCGUCAACUGGCUUCUGUCUUUUUACAAGCAAAGCAUGGAUCCCACAUAUACACCAGCAAUGGCAUGAAACUGUAAUUACAGAUUGCAAGGGAGGUAUGGAGCAAUACAUAAGGAUUGAUGACAAUGUGUGCAUUGUGUUUUGAUGUUAUUAAUACUAAAUAGUUGCUCGUUGUUGGUGCAAUUUUCAAGAGGGUUGCAGGUGAACUGUACAUACCUGUUGUUGUGGACAUAACAUAGUUUCUUAUUCAGUGACUUCAUGAAAUCACUAAUUACAUGGAUGAGUCAUAGUCAUUGUAGUAUGUGGUUGCAGAGAGUUAGCAUAAUAUUGUGUAUCAGUGUGACUAUUACAAAUGAAUAGUCUGGGUGUUUUAGCUACAAGUCUGUCAACGUCUGUAUUAAAUAACAACACAUGAUGGUCUGUAUUAAAUAACAACACAUGAUGGCGUGUUUGAGAUCUGUCAGUCAAUCAGUGCAUUACUAUUGGGUUAGCUUAUUGAUUUAUCACUGAAUGUCAAUGUGCGGUGAACUAUCACAACCUCACUCAUUAGUAAUUGAAAUUUGACCAUUUAUAGCAAUUGCAGCAUGAGUUUACUGGUGAGGUUUCAUGCUUAUAGGUGUGGGCCAAACGCCCUGGGCCAGUCGAGAUACUCAUGUUUUAUAUUGAAGUAGCUAAAUUUGGUCAGCCUAUAGUCAGAGUCAGGCGUCAGUGUGUCUGCUAAUGCAUAAUGGAGUGGUCAGCUACAAAUUGAAAGACCAUGUUUACUGUGGUUUUAGUGGAGAUAAGGACUGUUGAAUUUACAGUUUGCAAUAUUGUAUGAUAUUAUUUUGGCCGAACACAGCUGUGGUGUACCUUGGAUGGUAAUUGCCAGAUUGUUGAAGCAUUCCUUUGUAGAUUCAUCUGUUUUAGAUGACUUAGUACCUGACAAUUAGAAUUGUAAAUCAAAAUAUGAUCUUUUGUUUUAGCAACUGAUGGAUACAUAUUGUAUUUAUAUUGUUCUCCUAGAUCACUCAUGGAUGUCCUAGAAGCACUAUAGAAUUAAAUUAUUAACAUACUGAUUCAAAGGUUGUGCUUUUCACAUGAAACAAGAAGUUUUAAUGAUAGACACUAGUGCCAAACAGAUUAGCAAUAUUGGAUUACAACAGACUAGGUGUAGCAUUAGUAGUUCUUUAGAGUGUGUGAGAUUAUGAGAAUGUGACAUAGUCUAUGAAUAUGAGAGGAAUAAUAAGAAUGCCAUUUACCCACAAUGUAAAUUGAGUAUGAUCUAUUGUUUAUAAUAUAAAUAGAACAUAAGCAACUGGUACAGCUCGGUACCUGUAUAUGUGUGUCUAUCUAGUUCAUAGCAAUGCUAUAUGUGUAAUUCAGCAUUACUGUAUCUUCCAUAGAAAUAAACUGAAUAGCUUCGUUAAUCUUGCAGAUGUGUCAUUUUAAUACACUACAUUUACUGAAGACUGCUCGGUUCCCAAGGCAGUGCUCAUUGGCACUCUUGCUGUUUCACAUUGUCUUUGUAUAGUGACCUCGACCACAACAGAGAUGGUCACAGUUGUCUUCACAGACUCGACCUGUUGUUCCCAAACUGCCUGUACUAUUGUUUUGUGAACAGAAAUCUGGAGAUGCAUUUUCAUGGAGCAACUCUAUAUGCUUGUCCCUUCUUUUUCUGGUCUGAAACUGUUUUCUGAUUUUUAAGUUGCUGUUUUGGAAU